AACAUCGCCUCUUGCUUUAACAUAAGAGGUCCAGCCUGCCCAGUGACACAAUUAAACGGCCGCGGUACCCUGACCGUGCGAAGGUAGCAUAAUAACUUGUUCUUUAAAUGGGGACUAGCAUGAACGGCACCACGAAGGCCUCACUGUCUNCCNUUUUUCUAAUCAGUGAAACUGAUCUCCCCGUGAAGAAGCGGGGAUAAUAAUAUAAGACGAGAAGACCCCAUGGAGCUUUAAACCCAGCAAGCAAUCCUAANUUUACACAACCCAUCUAAAUUAUUCCUNCCCCUGCUUCCUGGUUUUAGGUUGGGGUGACCGCGGAGUAAAACACAUCCUCCAUGACGUACGAGAUUAACCCUUAUCCAAGAACUACCCCUCUAAGAAUCGAUAAAUCGACGUUUCAUGAUCCAAUAUAUUGAUCAACGAACCAAGUUACCCUGGGGAUAACAGCGCAAUCCAUUUUAAGAGCCCCUAUCGACGAAUGGGUUUACGACCUCGAUGUUGGAUCAGGGUACCNAAGUGGUGCAGCCGCUACUAAUGGUUUUGUUUGUUCAACAAUUAAAACCCUACGUGA
rnacentral:rRNA from 1 species